GGGCUCAUAGCUCAGUUGGUUAGAGCACUGUGCUGAUAACGCAGGGGUCCCCUGUUCGAGUCAGGGUGAGCCCACCA
rnacentral:tRNA from 2 species